AAUUUCACACCUGGAUGUGCUCACUCAACCAAGAAUAUAGAGAAAGAGCUUCUGCCCUGAGACUGCUUCUGUUCAGUAUAGAUUUCUAGACCCUGAUCAUUGCUUAACAGAUUUUCACUGGGG
rfam:Chelonia mydas contig201683, whole genome shotgun sequence.